UGGGGAAUAUUGCACAAUGGAGGGAACUCUGAUGCAGCGACGCCGCGUGAGUGAUGAAGGAAUUCGUUUCGUAAAACUCUGUUCUAUGGGAAGAAAAGGACUGUACCAUAGGAGAAAGCUCCGGCUAAAUACGUGCCAGCAGCCGCGGUAAUACGUAUGGAGCGAGCGUUGUCCGGAAUUAUUGGGCGUAAAGGGUGCGCAGGCGGCUUUACAAGUUGGAUGUGAAAUAUUGUGGCUCAACCACAAACGUGCAUCCAAAACUGCAAAGCUUGAGUUAAGGGGAGAUAAGUGGAAUUCCUGGUGUAGCGGUGGAAUGCGUAGAUAUCAGGAGGAAUACCGGUGGCGAAGGCGACUUACUGGACUUAAACUAUCGCUCAGGCACGAAAGCGUGGGGAGCAAACAGG
rnacentral:rRNA from 1 species